GGAAUGCUGGCGCCGCCGAGAGAAGAUGCAGAAAGCUGCAUCUUCUGCUAUGAAACCCUUGGUAAUGAGCAUGGAACCCAUAGCAUGAAAUCCUUGACAAUGAGCAUGGAACCCAGAGUGUGAAACCCCUGUCAACGAGCAGGAAGUCAGAGAGUGGAGCUAUAACUUUCUAGAACAUCAGAAGGAUCAUUAUAAUGAGUUUGACACAGCAAAGGAAAGGAGCUGUCCAGCAGCAAGAAUAGCUCUUUGAGUAGAGCUCACUCUCCCAAGACAGGAGCCCUCAGUUCAGAGCCCAACAAAUGUACAAUCCAAAGGGAUCCUUGAGUCAAGUUUACCUGGUUAUCUUGCUGAAUGUGAUGUUGCGAUUACUGUGAUAUUGCGAUUACUAAACUACACCGCAAUUACUAAA